rnacentral:rRNA from 1 species
UACGUAGGGUGCGAGCGUUGUCCGGAAUUAUUGGGCGUAAAGAGCUCGUAGGCGGUUUGUCGCGUCGAAUGUGAAAACCCGGGGCUCAACCCCGGGCCUGCAUUCGAUACGGGCAGACUAGAGUUCGGUAGGGGAGUCUGGAAUUCCUGGUGUAGCGGUGAAAUGCGCAGAUAUCAGGAGGAACACCUAUGGCGAAGGCAGCUCUCUGGUACGUGACUGACGCUGAGACGCGAAAGCGUGGGGAGCAAACAGG